UGACACCAGCCUGUCGGGGCCCGUCACCAUCUCGGUGCACGUGGCGGGCGAGGACGCGAGGACGCUCAGCGACUGAUAGUCGAGUACAACUGCAGCAGACAGCAGACAGCCGGGCGUGGAGGCCCCCCGUCCCGCCGUGGCAUGGCCGUAGCCGCAUAGCCCGUGCAUGUUGUGUUGCUAACCGCACCACAGAAGGCUCACGGUGGCUAAAAGAAUCCCCCGUCGUCGGUACCCCGCGCGCAAGCCGCAGGCAGGCGGCGAUACCCCUCGCUGACUCAUGUGCACGCGCGCAGGGAGUAUCGACGGACUAUUCUGCCGAUAAGUGAGUUGCGGUGGCUGUAUUCGCAGGAAACAGCAGCAGACAGCACAGUGCAGCACCUAACCUGCCGACUGGCUGGUCUGCAGAGUAAUAUUUAUGCUCUUUCAAAGAAAUAGUUUUAUGACAGCAAUGUUGCGUGGUAGAUUAUUGUCUGGCCUGAUAAGGCUAUCUUCUUCCUGUGUUGUUCCUUCUCCAGCUCCAUCGAGCUCUGUCAACAGUCCUGAUGUUGACAGUGAUGGAACUAGUGAUGCAAACAAGGAUCUUGCAGUGGACGAAACGUGGAUCCCUUCAAACAACAAGCAUUAUGUUAAAAAGAAAAAGAUUACUCGUCCUCGUUUUGCUAUGCUGCUUUCCUUCCAUGGUUCAAACUAUUAUGGGAUGCAAUUCAAUUCACAUGGCCCUGCAAUUGAAAACAUACUGUUUGAUGCGUUUAUCAAAAUUGGUCUUCUACCUGAGGAGAAAAUACGGGCUGCUAGAUAUUAUCUAGAUUAUCAACGAGCAUCUCGAACAGAUAGAGGUGUAUCUGCUUUGAGGCAGGUCGUUUCAUUAAGAAUAACUAAGGGUUUUAACAUCGAUGGUAUAAAUGAAUUUUUGCCUGAUGAUAUACGUGUCCUUGGAAUUAAACCUGUUGAUAUGAUUUUUGAUGCCCAAACCUGGUGUACUGCCAGAACUUACAGUUAUAUCAUGCCAACUUAUGCACUGCGUUACUUUGACAAAAGUUGGAAUGACUGUCACAAAUAUCGCAUUGAUUCGCUUUCAGUUUUGAAAGCAAGUCAGAUAUUUGAAAUGUUUAGAGGAACUCACCAUUUUCACAACUACACUGAAAAAAUAGAUAUCUGGGAUCAGAGAUCUCAAAGGAAAAUAAACGACACAGAAGUCUCAAAUCCUUUCUUGAUGGGUGAAGUUGAAAUGAUUGAAUUCAAACUUACAGGUCAAAGCUUUAUGCUUCAUCAGAUUAGAAGGAUGAUUGGGAUGGUAAUAGCAAUAAUGCGAGGGAAGGCAACAUUUUCCAUGUUACAAGAAACUUUGGAGCACCCUAUGAUGCCAGCACCUACAGCCCCAGCAUUAGGCCUCCUCUUAGAAAAGCUUACUUUUCUAACAUUGUAUCCUCCCUUAGCAACAUUUUGAUAGCUACAAUAAGAGUCGUAAGACCACAAUGCCUUUGGAAUGGGAUGAGUAUGAUGAUGAGGUGGAGAAGUUCAAACUGGAAAAAAUAGUGCCAUACAUGGUGAAGGUGGAACUAGAACAAAAGCAUAUGGAGACUUA
rnacentral:misc_RNA from 1 species